AUUUAUAUAGUAUAGAUAUUAUAUUUGACUUCCAAUCAAAUGAGCUAACUAAAUUUAGUAUAAAUA
rnacentral:tRNA from 2 species